AACGAACGCUGGCGGCAGGCCUAACACAUGCAAGUCGAACGCCCUGGCAACAGGGAGUGGCGGACGGGUGAGUAACGCGUGGGAACGUGCCCUUCGGCUCGGAAUAACUCAGGGAAACUUGAGCUAAUACCGGAUACGUUCGAGAGCAGAAAGAUUUAUCGCCGAAGGAUCGGCCCGCGUCCGAUUAGCUAGUUGGUGAGGUAAUGGCUCACCAAGGCGACGAUCGGUAGCUGGUCUGAGAGGAUGAUCAGCCACACUGGGACUGAGACACGGCCCAGACUCCUACGGGGGGCAGCAGUGGGGAAUAUUUGACAAUGGGCGCAAGCCUGAGCCAGCCAUGCCGAGUGAGUGAUGAAGGCCCUAGGGUUGUAAAGCUCUUUCGCCAGGGACGAUAAUGACGGUACCUGGAUAAGAAGCCCCGGCUAACUUCGUGCCAGCCGCCCCCGUAA
rnacentral:rRNA from 1 species